UGGAGUCUUAUCCAUACCAAUUAUCUUGAAAAAAUGGGCGGGAGUAGAACCAAAGAAUCGAUGUCUAGUCGUUGGAAAUUACUUAGCCAAUCGUUUAGUAUUUGGAGAGACGCAUUGGCACAAGCAAGUAGUAAUCUUCGAAGUGGGGAAAAUUACACGGAUCAGCUAAUUCAAGCACAAGCUUGGUAUGGUGCCAAAACCAAAAG